rnacentral:rRNA from 1 species
GACGAACGCUGGCGGCGUGCUUAACACAUGCAAGUCGAACGAUGAAGCCGGAGCUUGCUCCGGUGGAUUAGUGGCGAACGGGUGAGUAACACGUGAGCAAUCUGCCCUUGACUCUGGGAUAACUGCGGGAAACUGUAGCUAAUACCGGAUACGACACCUUGGGGCAUCCCAGGGUGUGGAAAGAAUUUCGGUCAAGGAUGAGCUCGCGGCCUAUCAGCUAGUUGGUGAGGUAAUGGCUCACCAAGGCGACGACGGGUAGCCGGCCUGAGAGGGGGACCGGCCACACUGGAACGGAGACACGGGCCAGACUCCUACGGGAGGCAGCAGUGGGGAAUAUUGCACAAGGGGCGAAAGCCUGAUGCAGCAACGCCGCGUGAGGGAUGAAGGCCUUCGGGUUGUAAACCUCUUUUAGCAGGGAUGAAGCGAAAGUGACGGUACCUGCAGAAAAAGCACCGGCUAACUACGUGCCAGCCGCCGCCGUAA